ACAAAGCAAUACAGAAGUCUGGGUCUGGUGAAGCAAGACUCUGCUGAUACAAUCCUCCUAGAGAACUGGGUGGGCGAGAGCAGCCCUCACUGGAGCACGCCCCGGGGCUGACUGUGCGACCCGGCAUGC
ensembl:scaRNA